AGCAGCCGCGGUAAUUCCAGCUCCAAUAGCGUAUAUUAAAGUUGUUGCAGUUAAAAAGCUCGUAGUUGAAUUUCGGGAUCAAUUAAUUGGUCGUGCCUCUGGUACGUACUGAUUUUAUUGGUUUCUCCCUUCUGACGAACCAUGAUGUCAUUAAUUUGAUGUCGUGGAGAAUCAGGACUGUUACUUUGAAAAAAUUAGAGUGUUUAAAGCAAGCUAACGCUUGAAUACAUUAGCAUGGAAUAAUGAAAUAGGACGUUUGAUCCUAUUUUGUUGGUUUCUAGGAUCGACGUAAUGAUUAAUAGGGAUAGUUGGGGGCAUUAGUAUUCAAUUGUCAGAGGUGAAAUUCUUGGAUUUAUUGAAGACUAACUACUGCGAAAGCAUUUGCCAAGGAUGUUUUCAUUAAUCAAGAACGAAAGUUAGGGGAUCGAAGACGAUCAGAUACCGUCGUAG
rnacentral:rRNA from 1 species